AUGUAGGUAUUUUAAUGCAGCCAGAUAUGAAGGAUACCUGGCUGGUUGUAAGUGAGAUAGACGGGCAGUCUGAGCAUGCAGAGAUGGAGGUCAGCGAGGAGUCUCUUGUGCAGUGCCCUGAAUCCCAGUCAACUGUUGCUGUAUAUGAAUGCACUGUGCCCUGCUUUACAUCAGCUGCCCUUCACAGUGAAGUUAAGCUGCUGAUAACUGACAAAGAAGAGGCGGGACCAAUGGAAACAUUGAUGCAAGACUCACAAGCCCAGAGUGAUCUAGGGAAUCAGACCUCAUCUCAUCCUGAUGCACUCAAACCCACAGAAGAGUUACUUACCAUGGCCUCUACGCAAAAAGAAGAAUCUAUAAUUGUCAAGCAAAACGAUGAUUCAACUCACACUGAUCUUGCAAACACGUUGACAGGGUUAACGUCCACAGUGAUGGAUGUCACACUUGAGUCUGUGCGAGAGCAGCAAGAAUCUGUUGUGGUGGAAAACACACCAGGUGUGUCAUUAAGUCCAUUGUCUUGUGGGACGAUUGAUCCAAAACUACUGAUCCUAAAGAAGGGUGACAGCCCUGCCCUUAAGCAACCUUCUUCGAUGUCUGCUAGGAUCUCAACCAAGCAGAACUUACCUGCCCUGGCUGGAUCGCCCAGUGAUGGAUUAAAUAAAGCUGCAGAGUGCCUUGCUAAAACUGAAUCAGCUGUAUCCUCCAUCAUAAAGGAGGAUGUUAUGUUAUCUGCUGACCGCCCUAUCUCAAACACUCUCUCUCAGUCCUCUCGGACUGUUUCCACUUCUAAUGUACUUUCACAGAACAGCUCUGUGAAAGAAAACUUAAAUAAAUCAAACAGUUCUGGCAAGUUGCUUCAAAACGAAUCCUCUGCUAGCGCUUCUUUGUCAACUUCAGGUCAACUCCCUAACUCAAAAAGCCGCUUUUCUCCUUCUGCUGGAGAUAUGUGGAGUGCUGUAUCCAGUGUUGUCCCAGAUGGGAAUCAGUGUAAACGUUGUUUGGGUGGUACACUAUGCCAGGAUUCAAUGACUUUGGGGGGUGAACUGGAGUUGGAGCAGCAGCAGUUACCGGAUGAACUUUUGUCAACAAUGCAAGAUGCUCAGAACUCCAUCCUGGAGCCGCUUGAUGCUUCUAUAGAAGAGAGCAGCGAUGCAGAGGUUGACAGCUCUGUGGAUGUCCAGAAUGAGGACAGCAAUGCUACGCCCAGUCCAUCAGCGAACAAGGUAAAUGCAACUAAACUAUUAACACGCCUAUUAUGACUUCAGCCAUGCUAAAGCAG
rnacentral:lncRNA from 1 species